GACGAACGCUGGCGGCGUGCUUAACACAUGCAAGUCGAACGGAAAGGCCUGCUUUCCCUUGUGGAUUGCGGGUACUCGAGUGGCGAACGGGUGAGUAACACGUGAGUGAUCUGCCCCCAACUUGGGUAUAAGCCUGGGAAACUGGGUCUAAUUCCCGAUAGGACUGCAGGGUGGUGCCUGUGGUGGAAAACGAUUUUCUAGUGGUUGGGGAUGAGCUCGCGGCCUAUCAGCUUGUUGGUGGGGUAAUGGCCUACCAAGGCGGCGACGGGUAGCCGGCCUGGGAGGGUGGACGGCCACAUUGGGACUGAGACACGGCCCAGACUCCUACGGGAGGCAGCAGUGGGGAAUAUUGCACAAUGGGCGGAAGCCUGAUGCAGCGACGCCGCGUGGGGGAUGACGGCCUUCGGGUUGUAAACUCCUUUCGACCGCGAGGAAGCCACCUGGUUGGAAGGGUGGUGACGGUAGUGGUAGAAGAAGCACCGGCUAACUACGUG
rnacentral:rRNA from 1 species